UGGGGGAUAUUGCACAAUGGGGGGAACCCUGAUGCAGCGACGCCGCGUGGGUGAAGAAGCGCCUCGGCGCGUAAAGCCCUGUCAGCAGGGAAGAAAANGACGGUACCUGAAGAAGAAGCCCCGGCUAACUACGUGCC
rnacentral:rRNA from 1 species